rnacentral:rRNA from 1 species
UACGGAGGGUGCAAGCGUUAUCCGGAUUCACUGGGUUUAAAGGGUGCGUAGGUGGGCAAGUAAGUCAGUGGUGAAAUCUCCGGGCUUAACCCGGAAACUGCCAUUGAUACUAUUUGUCUCGAAUACUGUGGAGGUCAGCGGAAUAUGUCAUGUAGCGGUGAAAUGCUUAGAUAUGACAUAGAACACCAAUUGCGAAGGCAGCUGGCUACACAAAUAUUGACACUGAGGCACGAAAGCGUGGGGAUCAAACAGG